rnacentral:lncRNA from 1 species
UUAUUUCCCAACUAUUUCCUGUACAAAAAUGUGAGCUAACCUUUUAUGUUUUCAAGAGCUCCGAUCUCAUCCCUAGCGGAUGCCACUUCACUACACUAGAUGACACAUGGUGAGGGCCCCUAAGUAGGUGAUUCUUUAUAAAACAUCACCUCCUUCAUUUUAAUCCCAUAAAAUUGAAAAAAAUCCCCAAAAACAGUCAUAGAGAAAGGUCCUAAAUUCUCCAUAGAUGUUGAUGUUUUCAAGUUAGAAGUUGAACGAAAGUUGCUCUAUGCUGCGAGCUCGUUAUUUUGUUAUAAUUUUCCCCAUUGAAUUUGUAGAAUAUCUCUUCGGGUAUUGUGGGUUACAACUGUGUAUUGAUUUUGUGGCAAUGUUUCAGGUGUGUUUAUCAAGGUAAGAAUCAUUUUUAUCGAUUUAUGUGUAAGUUAGACCCCGAAGAGUAUUUUACUAUAGAAAUUUGUAUGCUGGGUCGAAUAGUCCUAGAACUUCUUGUUAUUUUGGUUGAUUGGAUUUCUACCAUGGUUCAUGAAAAAAAUUUCCCUUUUAAUGUCUCCCUUAAUAUUCUUAAGAUACCAUAUCAAUUCUUGUUAUUUAUUGAGACAAAAAAUGUGUGGCUUCGAGAACCUUCUUAGUUAUGUUAAAAUACUAUAUUUAAGGAGGUAUGGAUGGAGGGAAUUGGUGUAUAUCUAUUAAUAUUCACAUAUGCAAGUUGUCAACUGAGAGAUCAUGAAGUAUGCCUUAAAAUAGUAUCGUGAGAGCUCGUCGCUCCGUCAAGAUAUAGUUUGCAUAUUGUUGUUGGAUUUAGUAAUUGUUUAUAUUUUUUAUUGGAAAAAUUUUAUGCGUUGGUCUUGGGUGGUUGUGACUGUGACACUAAAACCUAUUGAUUGGCCAUAGUGUGUUGCAUCCAUCAUUGAAACGCACUAAUGUGAUUGGGGUAGUAUGGUCGAGCUUUAAGUGAUGCUAAUAGACAUUACAUCGAAAAGGUAUGUUAAGGCCACCCUUCCUUUUGAAAUUUUCCUUUAUAUGCUAAAGUUUGAUAUGGAUAUAUUAUUGUUAAUGAAUAACUUGUAUCCGUAGUAAUUUAUGUUGGAUAUUUUAGUAAAUUAUCACAUCUUGUCAAAACUCUUAUUCCUUUGUUAGUGACCGAGCUCUAGACAUGACCGAAACUUGAGUAUAGAUUAGACAUAGUAUAUGGUCAUUUAUCUUUCUUUGAGCCAUGUAAUUUGUCAGUUUUUUACCUACAAGAUUGUAUUGCCUACUAAAGACACAUCAAUUCUUGUAUGCUCGAGCUACUUAGAGCCUCAAGCUAUCCAAACACCCAGAGCCUAUAGGCAAGGCAGAUACAAAGACUACAAGUCUAAAUAAAUACUGAGCCUAUGGGCUAGAUAGAUAUAGAGACUACGAGCUAGAUAGAUAUAGAUCCUAUGGGAUAGAUAAAAACAAAACCUCUGGGAUAAAAAAAAUCAUACAAAGCCUACAUGGUAGAUAGACUUAUUGAUUAGGGGUUAAUUGGUACAAGUGAACUAUAAGGUCCAGUUAUGUUCAACAGGGGUAGUUAGAUUACAAUGCAAACUAUCGUGCUUAUGGAGUCCCAAGUUUUUUGCUUGAUUUUUGUAUGUACCUACAAACAAGGCUUAUGGGAGGAAGGAUAGGUUAUUGUUUUCUUAGUUGAUUAUUUAUUUUAUAUUAGAGAAGGUAAAUAUGUUUAAGUUCUUUGAUGCUCAUGUCUUGUUAUCUUCAACUAAUAUAAUCUAAAUCUAGUUCAUCCUUUUAGCUUGCCUUCAUACUUGGUACUUUAUUUUAUACCGAAGAUUAGAGCCUGAGGGUUCUUUAUUCAUCCCUGCAGGUCUCGGCGGAUGACCAGAUAGGCCUUCCAAGUAGCAUUAUCAAACUCCAAUAGGUUGGAUAGCUUAUUUCUUUUGGAGUUGCUAGAGUUUCUACAGUUUUUGUGCCUUUUAGGGUAAAUAUUUCUUAGGUAGGUUAGGUAUAAUACCCCGUACCUUUUUCUAGCACAAAAUCAUCUCGAGAAUGUUAGAACUUGCUUUGAAAUAUGAAUCUAUUUUUGUACAUGUGGUAUUCCUAAGAUUUUCACUUUUUGUCACGUGGAAAAUCAAAUAAGCUUUCCAUUGAUACCAAUUUCAUCAAUAUACAGUGUCAAAUGAGAAAGUUAUGGUCAAAAUCCAGAAGGCAAUCAGACCUUCUAGAUGUGACGAGACAGGCCGAUGGACCAUCAGACAAGCGAUAGACCGUCAACCAUGACCGUCGCAUCAAGGCAGUGAGCUAGCUUUCUAGAUGAGUACAACGGAGAUUCCGACGGAUCAUCAGACUAGCGACAGACCGUCGCACCCCACCAUCUCACCGAGGUAGUAAGCUCCAGUUCUGUCUUAGUCCAACAGACCAUCGACCCAGCAUGGACCAUCGUACCCCACCGUCGCAUAUCCUGCUUAGUAUUUUUAAGUCAUUUUAACAGGGGUAUUUUUAUCUUUUACCACCCACUUAUAUAUACCCGGUUAUAUCCGACCUCAGCUCAUUUGUUCAUUAUUAUUUCACAACAACAAAAUUCGAGUUUUCUCUCUAAAAUUAAUCCCCAAGAAUAAAAUACAAAUCUUUUUCAAGAACUAAAAGAUUCCAAUCCUUCAAGUUCAAGAACUUCCAGAAACUCAACCCAUGUAUGCAUAAUGUUCAUUCAUGGACUUCUUUCGUCCAUGAAGCCCAGGAAUCUCUUUUCUAAGUUAAAGUUUAUGGAUUUUCUUUAUGAAUUUAAUGAUUGGGCUGCUCUUGUUCAUGUUGACAAUGAGUAAUUGAAUUCUAUUUCAUGUUGGGUAACAAAUUGUAUGUGGAUUUGAUUAGUAUAGAUGUAAUGUCAUGUAAACCUAUGAUUAAACUCUUGAAUGAUGAAAUUACAUUUGAAUCAUGAUGUUUAAUUGUUGUAUAAUGUGUUCUGCACUUACUAUGCCUACCAUGUGUUUGAUUAAAUGCCUAGAUGAAGAAAAUACCCAACUAGCAUGAUAUCAUGAAAUCCCCAUGUAUGUACAAGUUUAUGCCUAUCACCUGUUUGAUGAAAUGCUUCAAUAAAGGAGUUAUGGAUGAUGGUGAUCAUUAUGUGCUCAAGUAAGCCAUACUUUUUUAGUUUCCUUCUAUCGUGUCCUGGGGGUACUUGUACCCAAAACAUUAGUUGUAUGCCUAGAGCCAUGUCAUGUUUUCACGAUACUCUUAGUAAACCCAUGAUACUUAGACUUUACAUAGUCCUAUAACUCAUGAAUCUCAAUAAUCUCAAUAAGUUAUCAGAUCUAAGAAAUAUUCCGUUAAUCAAUGUAACUCGGUUAACUCAGUCCAAUUUAGUUUAGAUAAUCAUGUCCAGAGUCCAUUUAGAUUGGAGUAGGAAUUAGCACCGAGUGAACCUAAGGAUGGGAACAUACAUUGUCAGAUGAGGGUGUGAUUUUUAGAAGUCAUCCUUGCAUUCCAGAAAUAUGUAGCUAGCAUAGGUCGAGACAUCAACACUGUUCGAUGAGGGUUGAUGAGGUGGAUAAACAGUGUUAGAUGAGGGUCCCACCGUUCUCAUUUAGGGGACACUAUUAGAAAAGGGUCACCCAUAGCUUGUCUUUAUCAGUAGCACGAUAUUGGUACCCUUCCAAUUGAGGUUACAGAUUGGGCCCCAACUCAACCAUAAUGGCGUAUUAGGGGCAUGUCAGUUAGAUAACUACUUCCCAUAGUUUCAGUAUCAGUACCAGACAAGAACUCAUAUAGUUCUUUAGAUUCCAGGACUGUCAGAUACAGUCAACCCAGUUUAGUAUGUAACUCAGAUAAUUCCAUCAGAAUCAGGAAUGUUAGAUACAAUCACUCAUGUUAUCAGUUAUAUCAGUAUCAGUAUGUUAUGUUAGCAGUAUUCAGAUUUAGUAAUCAUGUUAUCAUGGUAUUAGUGUCAGUUAUUAUGUCUCAUAUAUGUAUUCUCAUGCUCAUGAUAGUCAGUCUGUUAUUGUUAUUGUUCAUACAUAUGAACCCCAUGCAUUUAGUCUACCUCACAUACAUCCCGGUACAUUUAGUCGUACUGAAGCAUUCGUGCUAUGGUGUCUUAUACCAUAGGUUCAAAGGCAUGCGCUCCAGAGCAUCAGUAGAUUCCAGAUAUCAGCAGUCAGAGUUAGCAGUGAGUCCUCAUCCUUUGAGGAGAUGAUUAUUUCUCUAUUAUCUAAUUAAUUAGUUUAUUAGUUGGAUUUAGUUGGGGACAUGUCCUAUCAACUCCUCAUUCAAAUAGUUCAGUCAGUUAGAGGCUUUCCAGACUGUUAUGUUCAGUUAGUUUAUUUCAGUUGUUUUAGAUAUUUCAUACCCUAUUUAGAUGUUAUACUUUUCAUCAGAUAUUAUAUUAUAGUUUGAACCUUAUGGACUUUCAGUUCAUGUUUUCACAUUAUUUAGUAUUUUAUACAGUAUACAGGUAUAGAUAUCAGUCAUGGGUUAGCUUGUGGUCCUUCAGGGUCUUGAGCACCGUGUAACGUUCUGGGUACCAGAUUUGAAGUGUUACAU